CCCAGGAUAGACCAUAUAGGGCGAAUGAAUUAGCCGCCGCGAAUCGCCCUUAGAGUUUGAUCCUGGCUCAGGCUAAACGCUGUGCGGCGCACAUAAGACAUGCAAGUCGAACGGACUUAACCAUUAGUUUACUGAUGGAGCGGUUAGUGGCGGACUGGUGAGUAACACGUAAGCAAUCUGCCUAUCAGAGGGGAACAACAGUUAGAAAUGACUGCUAAUACCGCAUAUGCCUAAGUACCACAUGGUACAAUAGGGAAAGGAGCAAUCCGCUGAUAGAUGAGCUUGCGUCUGAUUAGAUAGUUGGUGGGGUAACGGCCUACCAAGUCGACGAUCAGUAGCCGGACUGAGAGGUUGAACGGCCACAUUGGGACUGAGAUACGGCCCAGACUCCUACGGGAGGCAGCAGUCGGGAAUAUUGCGCAAUGGAGGAAACUCUGACGCAGUGACGCCGCGUGCAGGAAGAAGGUUUUCGGAUUGUAAACUGCUUUAGACAGGGAAGAAACAAGACAGUACCUGUAGAAUAAGCUCCGGCUAACUACGUGCCAGCAGCCGCGGUAAUACGUAGGGAGCGAGCGUUAUCCGGAUUUAUUGGGUGUAAAGGGUGCGUAGACGGGAAAAUAAGUUAGUUGUGAAAUCCCUCGGCUUAACUGAGGAACUGCAACUAAAACUGUNUUUCUUGAGUACUGGAGAGGAAAGUGGAAUUCCUAGUGUAGCGGUGAAAUGCGUAGAUAUUAGGAGGACACCAGGGCAGAAGGUGAUUUUCUGGACAUAUACUGACGUUGAGGCAAGAAUAUGUGGGGAGCAUACAUGACUAGAUACCCUGGUAGUCCACACUGUUAGCGAUGCAUAAUAGGUGUAGAGGAUUAUAAAUAUUAAGUGCCGCUGCUGACGCAAUAAGUAUCACACCUGGGGAGUACGGCUGACAAGUUUGUCACUAAAAGGUAUUGACGGGGGCCCGAACAAGCAGUGGAGUAUGUGGUUUAAAUGGACGCUAUCGUGUAGAACCUUAUCCAGGAGCAUGACUAUAUAUCCUGACAGCACUUAAGUAGAGUCAGUCCGGUGUCUCGGAACAGGUAUACAGGUGGUGGAUGGAUAUUGCCAGCUCGUGUCUUGAGAAGGGGUUUGGGUCCAUCUAAGUGCGCAACCGCUGUUUUCACUUGUCAGUAUGUAAUGAUGUGAACUAUGGAGAGGUCGGCGAUGAUACAUAGGAGGAAGUCGGAGACGAGGUCAUAUAAUCAUGCCCUGUACGUUUUGGUAUACACACAUAUGACAAUGGGUAAUACAAGGAGAAGCGAAUCCAGUGAUGUGGAGCUUCACUUAUGAUAGUAAUAUCAGUUAGGAUUAUAGCAUCAGACUGGCAUACACGGAUCUGGCAUGAUAGUAAUGGCAGGUCAGAUAGAUUCGGAGGUUAUAUGCGCGGGCCUAGUACACAUCGUGAGUCCAGGGUCAGACUUUGUAUGGGACAUGUCAGGAGCUAGUCCAAUUUAAUGAGGCUUAUUCUGGUCUGCAUCUGG
rnacentral:rRNA from 1 species